AUCCAGGGGCCGUAUCUCAGGAGCAAUCUGGGGUCUGGGAUCCACGGGCAGGAGAUGAGGCAGCGCCUCUGGGGAGAGGCUGAGUAAGGUGGCAGCUUCCUGGACCAAGAACGUUGGGGACUGGAACUUGGGAUUUGGAGAGAAGCAGAUGGAGGGGAUGCUGAGCCCCUAAGCCGGCCAGGGCCAGAAAAUAAUCAUUGUAGUGACCAAAGUCACAGUGGCUCUGAAUGUGGGGACCUUGGCAAAAUCACCAGCCUCUGACAUGGACGGAGGGAUAAGAAGGUCACAUCACCCAUCCUAGAGGGAGAAAUUACCUGAUGGAAACGGGGAGCAGAGAAGAGUCCAGCCGAACCGUGGCCCGACAGGGAGCUGGGCUGGAAUUGAGCCGAAGGUCUCUCCUCCAGCUCCAAUUUCAGGACCCAAUGAAGGUCCAAUGAGGUAAUACACGAUGAGAGUUAUUAAAAGGUAUGAUGUUCAAUAUGGAUCGAUAUGAUGCAAAAUGUAAAUAUCAUUACAAAGGUAAUAUGUAGGCAGUUAGUAAGCUGAUUCAUAAUAUUGAUAGAUAUGUGAUAGAUAUGAUAGAUAUGAAAGUGUGCAGUAAUACAAAGAUAAUAUCCAGUUAUUAAAUGCUCUAAUAUAUAAUAUUGAUAGAUAAUAUAUAUGCAAUAUUACAAAUAUAUGGGCAGUUAGUAGACUGAUUUAUAAUAUUGAUAGAUAUGAUUUAUGAUAAAUAUGAAAAUGUGCAGUAAUACAAAGAUAAUAUCCAGUUAUUAAAUGCUCUAAUAUAUAAUAUUGAUAGAUAAUAUAUAUGCAAUAUUACAAAUAUAUGGGCAGUUAGUAGACUGAUUUAUAAUAUUGAUAGAUAUAAUAUGUAAUAGUGCAAAGACCAUACAGUUAUGAAAUGCUCCAAAUAUAAUAUUGACAGAUAUAAUAAGUGAUAUCAUUAUAUAGAUAAUAUAUGGGCAGUUAUUAGACUGAUUUAUAAUAUUGAUAGAUAUGAUAUAAUAUGUAAUAAUGAAAAGACAAUACACAGUUGUUAAAUGCUGUAUAAUACUGAUAGAUAUGAUUUAUGAUAAAUAUGAAAAUGUGCAGUAAUACAAAGAUAAUACCUAGUUAUUAAAUGCUCUAAUAUAAAUAUUGAUAGAUAACAUAUAUGUAAUAUUACAAAUAUAUG